rnacentral:rRNA from 1 species
GACGAACGCUGGCGGCGUGCCUAAUACAUGCAAGUAGAACGCUGAAGGAGGAGCUUGCUUCUCUGGAUGAGUUGCGAACGGGUGAGUAACGCGUAGGUAACCUGCCUGGUAGCGGGGGAUAACUAUUGGAAACGAUAGCUAAUACCGCAUAACAGUAGAUAUCGCAUGAUAUCUACUUGAAAGGUGCAAUUGCAUCACUACCAGAUGGACCUGCGUUGUAUUAGCUAGUUGGUGAGGUAACGGCUCACCAAGGCGACGAUACAUAGCCGACCUGAGAGGGUGAUCGGCCACACUGGGACUGAGACACGGCCCAGACUCCUACGGGAGGCAGCAGUAGGGAAUCUUCGGCAAUGGACGGAAGUCUGACCGAGCAACGCCGCGUGAGUGAAGAAGGUUUUCGGAUCGUAAAGCUCUGUUGUAAGAGAAGAACGAGUGUGAGAGUGGAAAGUUCACACUGUGACGGUAUCUACCAGAAAGGGACGGCUAACUACGUG